GCCUGAAGAGGAAGAGGGAGGCUCUUAUUGUACCUGAUCCUGUCUGAUCUUGGAAGCUAAGCAGUCCCAGGCCUAGCUAAUACCUGGAUGGCAGACUGCCUUGGAAUCCCAGGUGCUGUAGGCU
rnacentral:rRNA from 1 species